UACGUAGGGGGGCAAGCGUUGUCCGGAAUCACUGGGCGUAAAGCGCGCGCAGGCGGUCAUCUACGUCUGGGGUGAAAGCCCGGAGCUCAACUCCGGGAUUGCCUUGGAUACGGGAUGACUUGAGGAUCGGAGAGGCAAGGGGAAUUCCACGUGUAGCGGUGAAAUGCGUAGAGAUGUGGAGGAACACCUGUGGCGAAGGCGCCUUGCUGGCCGAUUUCUGACGCUGAGGCGCGAAAGCGUGGGGAGCAAACAGG
rnacentral:rRNA from 1 species